rnacentral:rRNA from 1 species
CAGCAGCAGCCGCGGUAAUACGAAGGGGGCUAGCGUUGUUCGGAAUUACUGGGCGUAAAGCGCACGUAGGCGGAUAUUUAAGUCAGGGGUGAAAUCCCGCAGCUCAACUGCGGAACUGCCUUUGAUACUGGGUAUCUUGAGUAUGGAAGAGGUUAGUGGAAUUGCGAGUGUAGAGGUGAAAUUCGUAGAUAUUCGCAGGAACACCAGUGGCGAAGGCGGCUAACUGGUCCAUAACUGACGCUGAGGUGCGAAAGCGUGGGGAGCAAACAGGAUUAGAUACCCCCGUAGUCCCUGUCUCUUAUAC